GAGCCUUAAUACAUGGCAUAAACAGUAUACAAAACAUUAUUAAGAAUGCAGAAGAAAAAACUAGAUAGCUGGGAGCUACUAAAAAUCAAACAGCUCUGCUCAUUCAAAGACUUCACCAAAAGAGUAAAAAGAUUACCUACAGACUGGAGAAAAGUUUUUAGCUAUGACAUUUCUGAUCAGAGCCUGACCUCUAAAAUACACACAAUACUGCAAAACUCAAUUACAAAAAGACAAAUAACCGAAUUAAAAAAAUGGGCAAAAGAUAUGACUAGACACUUCACAAGAAGACAUUCAGGUAGCUAACAGAGACAUGAGGAAAUGCUCACGAUCAUUAGCCAUUACAAAAAAGCACAUCAAAACUACAAUGAGAUUUCAUCUCACUCCAACAAGGCUGAUGUUAAUCCAAAAAACACAAAAUAAUAAAUGUUGGAGAGGCUGUGGAGAGAUUGGAAUAUUUACACACUGCUGGUGGGAAUGUGAAAUGGUACAACCACUUUGGAAAUCAAUUUGGCCCUUCCUUAAAAACCUAGAUAGAACUAUCAUAUGAUCUAUCAAUCCCACUCCUUGGAAUAUAUCCUAGAGAAAUAAGAGCCUUUACAUGAACAGAUAUAUGCAAACCCAUGAUCAUUGCAGCACCGUUUACAAUAGCAAAAAGAGGGAAGCAACCAAGGUGCCGGUCAAUGGAUGAAUGGGUAAAUAAAUUAUGGUAUAUUUACACAAUGGAAUACUACACAUUGAUAAAGAAUAGCAUUGAAUCUGUGAAACAUUUCAUGACAUGGAGGAAUCUGGAAGGCAUUAUGCUGAGUGAAAUUAGUCAGUUGCAAAAGGACAAAUGUUGUAUAAGACCACUAUUAUAAGAACUCGAGAAAUAGUUUGAACAGAGAAGAAAACAUUCUUUUGUGGUUACAAGAGGAGGGAGGAAGGAAGGAAGUAUUCACUAAUUAGAUGGUAGAUAAGAACUACUUUAGGUGAAGGAAAAGACAACACACAAUACAGGAGAGGUCAGCACAAUUGGACUAAACCAAAAGCAAAGAAGUUUCCUGAAUAAACUGAAUGCUUUGACGAGCAGUGUAGUAGGGGCAGGGGUUUGGGGACCAUGAUUUCAGGGGACAUCUAAAUCAAUUGGCAUAAUAAAAUCUAUUAAGAAAAUAUUCUGCAUCCCACUUUGAAGAGUGGCAUCUGGGGUCUUAAAACCCUAGCAAGCAGCCAUCUAAGAUGGAUCAACUGGUCUCAACCCACCUGGAUCAAAGGAGAAUGAACACCAAGGACACAAGGUAAUUAUGAGCCCAAGAGACAGAAAGGGCCACAUGAACCAGAGACUAUAUCAGCCUGAGACCAGAAGAACUAGACGGUGCCCAGCUACAACCAGUGAGUGUCCUGACAAAGAACACACUGAAAACCCCUGAAGGAGCAGGAGAUCAGUGUGAUGUAGACCCCAAAUUCUUGUAAAAAGACCAGACUUAGAUGACCCCAGUGGUCAUGGCCCCCAGACCUUCUUUUGACCCAGGACAGGAACCAUUCCCAAAGCCAACUCUUCAGACAUGGAUUGGACUGGACGAUGGGUUGGAGAUGGAUGCUAGUGAGGAGUGAGCUUUUUGGAACCGGUGGACACUUCAGACUUUGUUGGCAUCUCAUGACUGGAGUGGAGAUGAGACAGUAGAGGGGGGUAGAAGCUGGUGAAAUGGACAAGAAAAGAGAGAGUAGAGGGAGGAAGCGGGCUGUCUCAUUGGGAGAGAGUAAUUGCUGAGUAGUUUAUUUUUUAUAUUGUCUUUUCCUCUUAUUCAGUGUUGUUGAUUUUGUUUCUACUUAGUCUCUAUUUUUUUCUUGUAUUUUAUUUUGAAGAGUAGGAGAGUUAGCCUCCUUUGUGGUUACCUUAAUAUUUACCCCUGUAUUUCUGAGUUUAAACCUAACUUUUCUUUCUUUAUAUUGCCUUGUCUUCCUCUCCAUAUGAAAGAUCUAUGACUACAUUUCUUAGUUCCUCUUUAUUGUUUUAAUGUUGUCUUCUUUUACAUAAUGACAUCAUUGUUUCCCUGUUGUGAGCGUUUUUUUAUCUUGAUUUAUUUUUGUGAUUUCCCUGUCUGGGUUGACAUCUGAUUGCUCUGUCCAGUGUUCUAGUCUUGGUUUGAUACCUGAGAUUAUUGACCUUCUAACCAAAGAAUUCCUUUAGUAUUCCUUGUAGUUUUGGUUUGGUUUUUACAAAUUCCCUAAACUUGUGUUUAUCUGGAAAUGUCUUAAUUUCACCUUCAUAUUUAAGAGACAGUUUUGCUGGAUAUAUGAUUCUUGGCAGGCAACUUCUUUUCCUUCAAUUUUUUAAAUAUGUCGUCCCAUUGCCUUCUUGCCUGCAUGGUUUCAGCGAAGUAGUCUGAGUUUAUUCUUAUUGGCUCUCCUUUGUGGGUGACUUUUCGUUUAUCCCUCGCUGUUCUUAUACUUCUCUCUUUAACUUUGGUUUUGUCAAGUUUGAUUAUAAUAUGUUUUGGUGACUUUCUUCUAAGUUCUACCUUAUGUGGAGUUUGAUGAGCAUCUUGGAUAGGUAUCUUCUCAUCUUUCACGAUAUCAGGGAAGAUUUCUGCUAACAAAUCUUCAACAAUUAUCUCUGUAGUUUCCGUUAUCCCUCACCGUUCUGGUACUCCAAUCACUCGUAGGUUAUUUCUCUUGAUAGAGUCCCACAUGUUUCUUAAGAUUUCUUCAUUUUUUAAAAAUCUUUUAUCUGAUUUUUCUUCAAAUACAUUAGUGUUGAGUGAUUUAUCUUCGAGCUCCGAAAUUCCAGCUUCUACUUGCUCAAUUCUGCUCCUUGACUUUCUAUUGAGUUGUCUAAUUCUGUAAUUUUAUUGUUAAUCUUCUGAAUUUCUGAUUGCUGCCUGUCUAUGAAUUUUUCCAGCUAAUUAAACUUUUCAUUAUGUUCCUGAAUAACCUUUCUAAGGUCUACAAUUUUUUUUUAUCUGUGUGUUCCUUGGCUUGUUCUGUGUAUUGUCUCAUUUCCUUCAUAAUUUUUCUUGAAGGUUUCUGUGUAUUAAACUUUUGUAUUGUGCAUCUGGUAAUUCCAGGAAUGCACUUUCAUCUAGAAGAUCCCUGGAUUCUUUGUUUUGAGGGUCUGUUGAGGUGAUCAUGGCCUGUUUCCUUAUGUGACUUGAUAUUGACUUUGUCUCCGAGCCAUCAAAAGUUAUUGUGUUAGUUUAUGCUUGCUUACUGUGUCAUAGCUGCUUGCUUUGUUUGUUUUGGCAUACCCUUAUGGGUUGCGUGAGUGAGCUAGCUUGAUUAUUUUUGCCUUUGGAGCUCUGAUGUCCUGUCCCCAGAUGGCUAGAGCUGUUUUCAGGUAUAUCAGUCUAGGAGUCCAUUCAGUUUUCUGGUAUGAAUUCAGCUCAGGUUUCCAGGUAGCUGAUCAUCAAGUGUGUGGUACAGGUUCUGUCCUACAGUCUUAGAGGGGCAUGGGUGAUUGGCAUAUAGACUGGUAUCUGAUUGCAGCAGGGGGUCAUGCUCUGAACAAGGCAGGGGGCUGAGAACUGACCCCCGAGUGUCUCUGAGGAAAGCACAUCCCUAUUCCCUAGAGUGUGCAGGUGGGUGGGUUCUGCAGACGGACCAUGGGCACCCAAAGUUUUUGGUUGUAAGGACUGGGAGGUACAGUUAUCUUUGGACCCCUGUUGCAGAUGGCUGAGUGACCUGAGUGGAGCUACAAGUCCUUAGGUCCCUGAUGUGGGUAGGUGAGAACCUCAUUUAAUAGACAAAGCAAUGUCAAACAUCAAAUACCCACCUCUCCACUGCACAGCUGAUGGUUGGAGUGUGCCAACAAGGGCCUAUUCUCCUGAAAUAGGCCCACACAGGUCCAUGCAGAAGAGAAAGGUGCUCAAGGUCCACGCUUCUGUCCUGUGGAGCUAGCAAAUUAUUUUUUCCCCCCAGUUGCAAAUUUUUUCCUUCUGCAAGGCCAGGAGGAUGGGUGUAGGUGCUCACCAGAGUCUAUCUCAGGCCCAGGGAUUCAGUUGUUGAAGCCACAGGUACUUAGCUUUUGCCAAGAGUGUGGUUCUCCUCAUGUUCCAGAGGUGUGAGUAGGCUGUGUGGCUGGCUGCUUCUCCCUGAGGAAACUGCGGCUGAACACUAGUACCACCCCGUCACCACUGCUCCGGGAAUGGUGCCUGAGGGCUCCCUGUGAUUCAGGUCCGGUAAAUCCUCUCCAUUUCUGAACAGUCUCUUCCUCCCUCUGCCCCUCAGUUCGUUGUCUAAGCUUGCCUUUGAUGCUCAGGACUACCAGCUCUCCACAAAUAUAUUCAUUUCACUUGUUUUUUCGGGUCUUUGUUGUAAAGAGGGCUUUCCAGAAGAGUCUGUCUAUUCUGACAUCUUGGCUCCGCCUCUUAUCAAGGCAUUUAAUGGCAUGUUUGAUCAAUUUCAGACCUAGAAUUUGAUAAAAUUCUUCAAUUUCUUCAUCUUUGACAUAGUGGUUGGUGCAUAACUUUGAACAGUAGUCAUAUUAAUUGCUUUUCCUUGUAGGGAUAUAGAUAUUAUCCUAUCACUUACAACAUUAUACUUCAGGGUAGAUCUUGUAAAUUUAAUAAAGUCUAAUUAAUUUAUGCUUUGUUUUACCCCUCUUUCCCUCCUCUUUUUUCUUUUUUUUUCUUUUGGUCUUGAUUUGGAAAUGUGUUUCUAUUCACACAGUCAUGAAGAUAUAUAUUUUCUUUUGGAACUGGUAUUUCAAGUUAAUAUUUGUAUGCUUAUGAUGUGAAAAUUAAAGAUCAAAAUUACUUUUAUUUUAUUAAGCAUCAUUUAAUGAAAAGAUCAUUAUUUUCCCCCACUGAAUUGCAGGGAUGUUUUUUCAAAAUCAAGGUUACCAUACAUUUGGCAGUCUAUUUCUGGUCUCUCUUCUGGUCUGUUGAUCUAUCCUUGAGCCAGUACUAUCCAAAACCUAACCAAACCAAUCUCAUUGCCAUCGAGCUGAUUUCAACUCACAAUGAUCCUAUAAGACAGAGUAGAACUGUCCCAUAUGGUUUCCAAGGAGCAGCUGCUGAAUUCAAACUGUUGACCGUAGGUAGAUGAUAUGUAGACUAGGACAGAUUUGACAAUAUUGAACUUCAGUAUGAUAACCUUUAGAAAUGAGAUCAAUAGGACUUUUCUUUUUAAUUAAUUUUUUUUGUGCUUUAAGUGAAAAUUUACAAAUCAGGUCAGUCUCUCAUACAAAAAUUUACAUACACCUUGCUAUACAUUCCUAAUUGCUCUCCCUCUGAUGAAAGAGCACAGUAGUUCCCUCCCCUCUCUCUCCUCAUGAACAGCACAUUUUUAAAGUUAACACUUAACAUCUAUAUAGAAAGAGCUUUGAAGAAAAUGAUCAAACCAAGUAUUCCAAUAGGAAAACGUACAGAAUACCCUCUAUUAGACUUAGAUUUUCAGUAAUACAUGCAAUAGCUAUGAACCGUUGAAGUCCCAAAAUUAUUCUCAAGCCUUGAAAUACUUUUAAACUUUCUUUUGAUGUAGGACAUAUUUAACAUAGUAAAUAUUUACUUUGAUGUAAAAUUCAAAUUUUCAGGAUCAUAACAGGUAUAAAUGAACCUAAUAAGCAAUUGUGACAAUUACAAAGUUAUUACUACAUGACUUCUGCCAUCCUAGUGUGGCAUAGUGUGGAGACAAUUGCACAAAACUAAGCAGAAGGUGAUGACUAGUUGACAUAGAAGAGUAAACAGCAAGAUGAGUACUUAAGAAGAAGAGAUGAAUUCUUAUCCAAAAGUUUGGGAAGUUUUCUUGAAAGAGGUAGAAUUUGAGUCAUACUUUAAAUAAUUACCUGAUAAUGAUGGGGCAAUAUAGCAGAAAAAACAUAUACACUAGAAAAAGAGACAUGCUUGAUUGACAGCAUGAAGGUUCUUAAGAAUAGGUCACGAUUGAAGAGGUAAUCUAGGUGUCCUCGUGAACAUGGAGGUAGAAGUCAGGGAAUAUAAAGGCGUAAAAGAAGGUAGAUUUUGUGAAACUGGAAGGACUUCCCACAGCAGGCAGAGAGUUUGGCUUUUCUUCGUUAUGCGGUGAGUAUCAAAGAAUUCAACAUGUGCCAUAAAUUUGUCACUGUAAUCUGUAAUUUAAAAAAAAAGUUUAAUUGAGUAAUUGUUCCAAAAUCAUAUCCCAUAACAACUUAUUUUCUAAAUCUUUUUUGUGUUCCAAUGAUUUUCAGUUUUGAAAGAUAUUGUCUUACGUGAAAUAGGUUCCAAAUCGUUCAAAGUUUAAUUGUAACUGGAUCUCUUUAUGCACCCUCUAUUUCAGUGAUGGAAUUCUUUUGCUCCAUGAAUUCAUAAAAAAAAAAACUCUUGUGUUGUCUUCAAUGUAUUUCUGUUUUGCAGAAAUGAGAGAAGAAAGGGUGACUUACUCUGAGUUGCGACUUCAAACUUCAUCCCAGCGGUGGAGAAGAAUGCCUGAAGGAUCUGGAACCAAAGGGAUCAAGUGUUUUGGACCUAUAGCCUCCAGCUCAACUCUCUGAUCUAGCGGCGCUCUUCUCCAGACAAUACUCUUCUGGGCCUUCCCUGCAUCAGCCUUGGAGCAUCAUUUCUCAUGGCAGUUUUUCAGACCACUAUAUGGAGGUUGAUUUCUGGAAUCUUAGGAGGAAUAUGUCUUUUGCUGAUGGCUGUCUUGGGAAUUUUAUUGAAUAAUUGGCAAGUUUCUCUAGGCAAGUAUUUAUAAAGAUCAAAACCAUGAUAAAAUUAUUUAGUAAUAAAGAUUUUAUUUUACUAAUGUGUAAUAUUUUGUUAUCUCAUGGCUUCACUUAAGUCUGCACCGAAUUAAGUACAUUUCUAAUUAUUUCUUACAGUAUUCUCUCCAGGACUCAUCAUAGAACUCCAGGGAGGUAGUCUCCAUACUCCACUCAUAGCAACUUUAUAGGACAGGGUAGAACUGCCCCAUAGGGUUUCUAAGACUACAAUCUUUCUGGGAAAAGACUGCCACAUCUUUCUCUGACCGAUCAGCUGGUGGAUUCAAAUGACCAACCUUUCGCGUUUCAGUUAGCAGCUGAGCACUUUAACCACUGUACCACCAGAAAAACUUCAAUGCACUUUUUUCUUUUCUGAAUCAGGAAAUAUGUUAAAAUGCUUUCUCCGUUAAAGACUAUCCUUGAUCUAGUUACCCUGUUUAUACUGCAGAGCUCAGCUUUGGGAUCUCUUCUGAAAAAACU